AUCAGAUUCCUCCAAGGGGAAUUUUGGGCUCUAAAGCAUAGUCCAAAACAGAUCUGUAUUUGCAUAUUUUAUUUGUUUGCUUCAUUGGCAUGACCGUAAGUACAGGCAGUUGCUAAAUAUUUACAUAUAUACAUAUAGGCUAUAUUAAAAACUAUGUGCUGUCAACUGUAGACUAUAUACUACAACGUGCAAUUUACAAGAAAAUAAGUGAAAAGAAUAUAAAAAAACUAAAUGCAAUAGUGUGGAAAUAAACUGAAUUAAAUUAGUUAAUCGUCGAUCCUCUGGUUUCAAGGCGUUCAUGUCUUUUGGUAAAACAAAAACGCACAAAUUUUGAUAAUAAUAUCGUUUUAUUUCCGUUUGAUUUCAUUAUUUCUACCGAUAAAUUUUGUUCUGUUUGGAAGAACAUUCAGGCUGUUGAGAAAGUUUUCUCUUAUGCCGCCGUAGACUUCACAUGAUGUGAGAAAGUGCAAUUUAUUUGCUACUUGUACCUUUUGGCGGUCCACAGCGGUAUGUGCGGCGUUCAAUAAAUUAUUUUUUUGUUUAUACAUUGAGUGGCUGUGGAGAAAUUUUCAACAAGGGCUUAUAUUCAACACUGAGGGCAAAACUCGACCCCAAUAGUUGCACAUUUUGUCAUUAAGAUUAUUAGCAACCUUGGUUAACCGCAUGUUAGCUCGUGAACUAUGGAGCGAAAUGGUAAGUUGCAUCUCACUAUAAAUGGUGUCACAAUUCAUCUUUGAGAUUGAAUUUUCGAUGUCCACUAACGUAAAAAUCUGGAACAUAGCUAUUGCAAUUUUUAUAUAGAGACACUCACAAAUUUACAGAAAACUGCUAAAUCUCCCCUUCGCUUAUUCGAUCUCAUCUUAUGCAAAAUUAGCUAUGCAGUGUCAUUUCGUGAGUAGUAAAUCAUUUUUCUGUUUCAGUGGCGUUAUAAAGAUAUUUUAAUUUAGGGCGGCUGAAAUUUGUAGAAAAGAUCAUUAAAACUUAGUAGUUCGAGGGCUUGCUCUCUCAGGAAAACUAUAAAAUCACUUUUGGUCGCAAAAUUGGAGAACGUAUAGAGCAAAAAUGUUGAAAAAAUUUCUUUCACUUUCGGUUUUUUGUUAGUUUGAA